rfam:Cobetia sp. TCD-24C scaffold_2, whole genome shotgun sequence.
UGUCGGUCCUCCCGCAAUGCUAGGCUGCAAACCCCGCCAGGCCCGGAAGGGAGCAACGGUAGUGGCUGACGCGUGUGCCGGGAUGUGGCUGAUGGGG